rnacentral:rRNA from 1 species
AUAUCAAUAAGCGGAGGAAAAGAAACCAACAGGGAUUGCCUCAGUAACGGCGAGUGAAGCGGCAAAAGCUCAAAUUUGAAAUCCUUCGGGAGUUGUAAUUUGAAGGUGAAGGGACCGCGGUAGAUGAUGAUUAAAGUCCCUUGGAACAGGGCGCCUUAGAGGGUGAGAGCCCCGUACAGUCAUCCAUCUUCCUCUUAUGUUCUUUCUCCAACGAGUCGAGUUGUUUGGGAAUGCAGCUCAAAGUGGGUGGUAAAUUCCAUCUAAAGCUAAAUACCGGCGAGAGACCGAUAGCGAACAAGUACCGUGAGGGAAAGAUGAAAAGCACUUUGAAAAGAGAGUGAAACAGUACGUGAAAUUGUUGAAAGGGAAGGGCUUGCAAGCAGACACAACCCUCGUGGUUGGGCCAGCAUCGGUUGCUAGGGGUGGAUAAGGCGGCGGGAAUGUAGCUUCCUCGGAAGUAUUAUAUCCCGCUGAGAUACACCCACCGGCGACCGAGGCCUGCGAUUCUAAAUCAAGGAUGCUGGCGUAAUGGUUGC